rnacentral:lncRNA from 10 species
CAAGAACUCAUCAGGGAAUAUUGUUCUUAUGAGUCUUUUUGGAGGACUCAACUAGAGGACAAGUUCCAGGCAAUCAAAAGAGAAGUGAGACAAAGGGCAGUCAGUGAAUUGGUAAUGAGCGCUGGAUCUAAUAAUUACAGGUCUAGAGCUGAAAACCAAAGCGAGAAGUAGGGUAACAGAGGAGAAUGUAAAUGUUAUAUGCAGUGACAAGAUAGAAAUGAUACAACAAAGCCUUCAGGAAGAAGAAAGGGAAAAGAAGGUGGAAGGCAGAUCUUUGACCAGCAAUGUGCUUAGGGAUCUCAGGAUCAGAAGCCAGACCAGCCAGAAUCCUCAGUACUCAAGAGCUUUAAGACCUUAUGCCAGAGCCCAAUGUUACUCCAAAACCUUGGCAAGAAAGGUGCACUGAGAUUUCAAACUCCGGAAUCUAUCUCUACCCUUUGUCUGAUUGGGAAGUGCUUUGAGACUGCAAGCCUAGGUUCUUUGCCUGCUUCUUUCCAGGACCUCACAUGUCCCAAUUUGCCUGGGAUAGUGUCAAUUUAAACCAUUUGUCUUGGUGUUUAAAUGUUAUGAUAGUCUGUUUCUCUCAAAUUUGGAUAAAAAACUAUGUAGUCACCUUACUGAUGAACAAAGUGCUGUGCAGACUUAACCCAGGAUUCUAUUUACCCACAAUUGCUAAGUAAUAAAUUAUUCUAAAAUCUUAGUAUCAGGUUUUUUUUUUUUCUAUUCACAUACUCCUAUCACUAAAACAGUAUUUGUGUGCAAAAGCCAUUAUCUUGAGAUGUGGCCAUAGUUGAACAUUAGCUGAUACAGUUUUAUCUUCUUGUGCCACUUGGAAC